rnacentral:lncRNA from 1 species
UUGAUUAUUUGGAAUAUCUACUAAUUUUCACUUCUUCGUACUACAUUUGUAUGAACAUCAAGAUUAUUCUCCUUAAAUCUGUACAGGGAAGUUUUAGCUAGCUCUAAUUGUAUAGUUUUAUUGUUGAUAUUCAUCCCAAUUUGUAUCUAGUGUUAAAUUAAGUAUUUAUAUGACAUAACUUUCUUGGUAUUCCUAAUUAUUGGAAGAAUUUUAUACACAUAAGUAGUAUACCUAAAACGACAAAGUUAUUUUUCAUUUACCUGUAGAUAUUAUAAAACCCGUUUUUUUUUUCUGAAGUGAUUAUUUUCGAAGGGUUAAAUAUUUCGCGGUGGUGUUUUGCCAUGGCUUUGUUUGGACGUUUUUGUUUGCUUUUUUGGCCUUGUAUGUUUGUCCCUAAUAUUUUAUUAACUGUGCAUUUGCAUUCAGGUAUCGCAGAUCAAAUUUAUUCGUUCAUAGUGUGUUAAUUUACGUUUUUUGAUUGAGUUAAGCCUUCCAAUUGAUAUUUUAUAGUGUGGUUUUCUAUGUUGUGAUGUUAUGCUAUUGUUUCAGAAAUAGGAAGAAGGUUUGGUACCAUUAAAACGUUUAAUCCCGCUGCAAAUGUUUGCACCUAUCCUAAGUCAGGAAUCUGAUGUACUGUAGCUGUCGUUUGUUUAUGUAAUUUAUACGUGUUUCUCGUUUUUUAUAUAGAUUAGACCGUUGGUUUUCCCGUUUGAAUGGUUUUACACUAGUAAUUUUGGGGCCCUUUAUAGCUUUUUGUUCGGUGUGAGCCAAGGCUCCGUGUUGAAGGCCGUACAUUGACCUAUAAUGGUUUACUUUUAUAAAUUGGUAUUUGGAUGGAGAGUUGUCUCAUUGGCAUUCACACCACAUCUUCCUAUAUCUAGUACAUAUAAUUUCAAUUAAGUGUACCAGUAAGACAUUUAUCAAGUUGUGGUCACAACAUUUUGCAGUAAAUUCUAAUCAAAAUAAAAAAAAUAACGACA